AGAAAUACAUAACAAUACCUUAUAGCAAGCCUAUAGAUAUUGGAAGAUAACAUAUAUAUUAUGUUCUAAUUAAAAUUUGAUCAUUAAAUUUUAUGGUUGCACUGAUCAUGGUAUUUUUCAAACUUAAAUGAUAUAUUUUACAAAACCAAAUGGUAUAAUAAGCAUCAGCUCCAUCGGGUAAAAGUGAUACUUGAAAUUUUCAACGGCCUCACUUCUUACUGACUAAUUGUGUUUGUACAGAUGAAUCAAGAUGAAGAUGGUGCACUGACUGUAAUUUGUAAUGUAGGCACAACUCCCCUUGUCCCCAUUCUUCAUUACCCCAUCUGCUAGUAUGACACCCCAGCAGCAGACAUCAUUCUCAGCCCACCAACAGUCAAAGUCCACACUUCACCAGCAACCACUGGCUGCAAAAGCACAAGAGAAUAAGCAUUCAGUAUAGUUUAUUUUAUAAGCAGUAAUUUACGAUUAAAAUUUUGUAUUUCUGCCAACAGUAUGUAGUUUGAACACUUUCAAAUAUUGUUUGACCAAUUAUCAAAUAGGCAUUUUCAUAAACAAACUAUCAGAUGAGUGUGCUGAUGAAGUUGGACCACAUCUUGAACAAUUAACAGUAACAGACAGGCUUGCUUUGCCAAAUGGCAAGUAGAGGAAUAAAUGGAGGGGAUGGUAACUGUACAGUAGAGGAUGUGCUUCCAUUUGACACUGUCAUGAUUUAAAAGACAGUUUAGUAAGCUUGCCUUCAGACCCAUCCAAAAGUAAAGGAAAACACUAUUGAGGACCAGGUGACAGAACUUCUGAAACAUGCUCCCAAUAACCUGGCUUUUCUCUUGGAGUAUCACUACACCACUUUGUUCUUUUGUAUAGCUUCAGGCAAUUUCAGAUUUCUGCAGUCUUAGGACGAGAUUCUGGUCAUGUGCUGCAUUUCUUUCUAUAGGCAUCAUUAAUUAUGUAUCUCUCAUACCUUGCUAUAGCCACAAGCAAAUCUGGUCAGUAUGAGAUGGUGUCCAGGAUGGUCACCAUCUAUUUCAGAUAUGUAUACAUUCUGUCUCAGGCCAUUCAUACAUUUCCACCUUGACACAUCUUAACAAUCCAGAUAAUCAAUGGAAAUUGGACAAGUAAAUCAGCUAACUACCCCUUACUAUCUUUCUGCUCGUGCUCAUGAAAUGGGAUUCAGAAUUGUUAUAUCUCUCACUGAUACCAGUAAGAGAGACACUGGUCCAUGAGAAGAUUUUUUCAAAUUCUUCACGCACACUAACAUAUCUUGAUUUUAGUUAAAUUUCUAGGUUCCUCCUCCCCACUAUCACUUAGAUGAUUUGGCAUUUGCCUUGUGGUUAGGGCACUCAACUCGCAAUCUUUGGGCAACAAGUUCAAAUCUUAUCACCAAACAUGUUUGCCCUUUCAGCCAUGAGGGCAUUCAUAUUACAGUUGAUCGCAUUAUUCGUUAUUAAAGAGUAGCCCAAACAUUGGCAUUGGUUGGUGUUGACUAGCUGUCUUCCCUCUAAUCUAUCACUUCAAAAUUAGCCCUGUAAUAGCUUUACACAAAAUUCAACAAACAAAUUAUUGCUUCACUUAUUGUAUUCAGAUACAUUGAUUGCAUUCUGAUUUCAAUGACAAUAAUUAAAUACUAGAAGAUCUACAUGAAAAUGUUUAAACAUUUUCCUCAUUAUAACAAUAUAGUCUCUUAUUAUCAUAGCUGUAAGAUAAAAGUACCAUGAUAUCUGAUUAACUACUUAAUUAAAUUAUAUAUAUAUAUAUAUAUAUAAAGUGCCAAAUGUUGCAACCAGUUUUGAAUAAUUAACCUUACUGCUAUAGUGAAGAUGAAAAUAGUAACUUUCUAUUUAUACAUACAGAAAGUAAUGUUUUAUCAUUUUUACUUUCUGAAAGUAAAGUAGGACUUUCCAAUUCCUGAUGUGAAGCCUGCAUUAGGACCAAAAACAUCAUCAUACACUCUUCUUCAGAUUGUAAAAGUGUUAAUUUUUAAAUAAACGUUGUUUCUUACUUA
rnacentral:lncRNA from 1 species